rnacentral:misc_RNA from 1 species
AUGAUGCCCUCGACGUCUUCUUGACUGGUAGGGUUUGGGUCUGGCCUCUGGUCGACCUUCAUCUAACACACCGUGAACUGUGGCUUCGGCCAUUUUACACAAACUCUUAGUAAUGAAUGUAUUAUCAUAACAUAAUA